AGUCACAGGCCUCAUCCAACCCAGCUCCCAAGCAACCCAAAGGGCCAGUGUCACUCCCACCAUGCCCACCCCCCACAACAGCACCAAGUCUGUUUCCAGGUAGUGGACAAGCAGGAAGUUACCCCAGGCUACCCACCUCCCAGCUGCGAAACCCUUGAACCUGCUUGCCUCAGUAACCGUGGCAAGUCCAGAUGGCUGCCUUAGGAUCAGAUGUAAACCUUGAAGAAACCAGCUGUGGCCAGUAUGUCAAGUUUAAGCAGACAAAUGAAGGUGACCUGUGGUGGGAAUACAUAUUUUGAAACCGAAAAGAGAUGAUAUGUGGGGAUGCAAGGAGAACUUGUUGGAGUCUCUGUUGCAGACAAUGCUUUAUGUGGUCUCAAGCUUGACAUACAAAAAAAAAAGAAGGAAAGUGGAAGCACCCAAAAAAAGAUCAAAACAAGGCAAGGAUCUCUGCUCUCGACCCAUCUAUUCAAUAUUGAACUAGAGGUCCUAGAUGGUGCAAUAAGAUAGGAUCUGACUCUGUCACCCAACCUGGAGUGCAGUGGGGCGAUUAUGGCUCACAGUAGCCUCAAUCUCCCAGGCUCAAGUGACCCUUUCACCUCAGCCUGCCAAGUAGCUGGGACCACAGGCAUGUGUCACCACACCUAGCUAAUUUUUUUUAUUUUUUGUAGAGAUGGAGGGUCCCACCAAGUUGCUGAGGCUGAUCUCAAAACUCCUGGGUUCAAGUAAUCCUCCCACCUCAGCCUCCCAAAGUGCUGAAAUUACAGGCAUGAACCACCAUGCCCAGCCUGAUCAAGUCUUUCUUUGAAUGUGGCAGCAUGCUGAGACUGGGCAACAUGGAGCCUUUGGAAUUUACUCAUAUUACAAGAGAAAUAUAUUUGGACGUUGUCUAGGACAUGGUAAAGAGAAAGGGUGGAGAGGAAAAGUCAAGAGGUAUAGGCCAGGGUUUAACCAUGAGCAGUAGUAGCUCUCAGUCACCAGGUUUCUUUUUCUUACUUUCUCUCUACAAAACCUCGUAUUUUAGUGGAUAUGUUCUGGGGACACUAUCAGGCUAGGAAGAAGCAAAGCCACCUAGAAGGAAGGAUAGUGGCACUGUUAAGUAUAGGAGGGACUAACUAUGCAUAUUUGAUUGUCCUAAUAUAUCUCAACCAAAGCAUGUGUAAGCCUGGCAC